AUUGAACGCUGGCGGCAGGCCUAACACAUGCAAGUCGAGCGGAUGAAGGGAGCUUGCUCCUGGAUUCAGCGGCGGACGGGUGAGUAAUGCCUAGGAAUCUGCCCGGUAGUGGGGGAUAACGUCCGGAAACGGGCGCUAAUACCGCAUACGUCCUGAGGGAGAAAGUGGGGGAUCUUCGGACCUCACGCUAUCAGAUGAGCCUAGGUCGGAUUAGCUAGUUGGUGGGGUAAAGGCCUACCAAGGCGACGAUCCGUAACUGGUCUGAGAGGAUGAUCAGUCACACUGGAACUGAGACACGGUCCAGACUCCUACGGGAGGCAGCAGUGGGGAAUAUUGGACAAUGGGCGAAAGCCUGAUCCAGCCAUGCCGCGUGUGUGAAGAAGGUCUUCGGAUUGUAAAGCACUUUAAGUUGGGAGGAAGGGCAGUAAGUUAAUACCUUGCUGUUUUGACGUUACCAACAGAAUAAGCACCGGCUAACUUCGU
rnacentral:rRNA from 1 species